rnacentral:rRNA from 1 species
UACGUAGGGUGCGAGCGUUGUCCGGAAUUAUUGGGCGUAAAGGGCUCGUAGGCGGUUUGUCGCGUCGGGAGUGAAAACUCAGGGCUUAACCCUGAGCCUGCUUCCGAUACGGGCAGACUAGAGGUAUGCAGGGGAGAACGGAAUUCCUGGUGUAGCGGUGAAAUGCGCAGAUAUUAGGAGGAACACCGGUGGCGAAGGCGGUUCUCUGGGCAUUACCUGACGCUGAGGAGCGAAAGUGUGGGGAGCGAACAGG